GGCAGCAGCUAAGAAUAUUCCGCAAUGGGGGAAACCCUGACGGAGCGACGCCGCGUGGAUGAUGAAGGCCGGAAGGUUGUAAAAUCCUUUUAUACGUGAGGAAUAAGUGGAGUGAGAGAAACGCUUCAUGGUGACUGUAGCGUAUGAAUAAGCAACGGCUAAUUACGUGCCAGCAGCCGCGGUAACACGUAAGUUGCGAGCGUUGUUCGGAAUUAUUGGGCGUAAAGGGCAUGUAGGCGGUAAUGCAAGUCUGGUGUGAAAGGCGGGAGCUCAACUCCCGGACUGCGUUGGAAACUGCAUUACUUGAGUGACUGAGGGGCAAUCAGAAUUCCUGGUGUAGGGGUGAAAUCUGUAGAUAUCAGGAAGAAUACCAAUGGCGAAGGCAGGUUGCCAGCAGAUGACUGACGCCGAGGUGCGAAGGUGCGGGGAGCAAACAGGAUUAGAUACCCUGGUAGUCCGCACAGUCAACUAUGUACACUGGAUGUCUGGUCAGAAGACUGGGUGUCGAAGCAAACGCGAUAAGUGUACCGCCUGGGGAGUAUGCCCGCAAGGGUGAAACUCAAAGGAAUUGACGG
rnacentral:rRNA from 1 species